rnacentral:rRNA from 1 species
GUAGCGGCGAGCGAACACGGAAGAGCCCAGCGCUGAAUCCCCCGGUCCACCGGGCCGGCGGGAAAUGUAGCGUUAGGGAGCGUCCGUAUACCCGGGCGCGCGCGGCAAGCACAAGUCUCCCUUGAACGGUGCCAUAAUCCAUAGAGGGUGCCAGGCCCGUACUGCUGCCGCCGCGACCGAGUGGGCGUCUCCUGGGAGUCGGUCUGUUUGAGAACGCAGACCUAAGCGGGUGGUAAACUCCAUCUAAGGCUAAAUAUGACCACGAGACCGAUAGCGCACAAGUACCGUGAGGGAAAGGUGAAAAGAACUUUGAAGAGAGAGUUCAAGAGUACGUGAAACUGGAGAGGUGAAAACGGAUGUGGUUCGAAAUUCCGAACGGCGGUGUUCAGUCUCACCGGCUUCCCGGGUCCCCCGGCCGCGGAGAUCAAGGGUCCUCGCCGGCGUGCGGCUGCCUCUCGGGGUGGUCGUCGCGUCGCCUGGUCCCCUCCCGGUCGGGUUAUGAUGCUGGCCCGGGGCGGUGUGGAUGCACUCGCUGCCGUAGUAGGAUGUCGCGACUCGUUGGGUGGCGGUCGCGAGGCCUGGCGGGGCAGCCCGGUGUCCGUGUGUCGUGCACCUCUGAGGUGAAAUGCACGCGGUGCGGCCCGGACCCGCCAGUGUCCUCUCCGUCUGCCCGACGGUAUCGAAAAGGCGCCGGGGUUUCCGGCCCGCUGUCAAUGCCCCUUGCUCGUCUCGGGGUAGGCGGGUCAGCGUCCCGGCUGUCUGCGGCAUUGCCUGUUUCGGAUCCAUAUCCGACCCGUCUUGAAACACGGACCAAGGAGCGUAACACAUGCGCGAGUCGAAGGGUGCUCCUAAACCCGGAGGCGAAGCGAAAGCGUAAGGGACGAUGGCCACUGGUCGUGCUCUCCCGGCGACGGGAUCCGGCCGGCCCGCAGUCCCGGGGCACCUCAUUUCUCCGUCCGGGCCUCGCGCCCGGCUGAGUCGAGGCGCACCUGUGAGCGUAUGUGUUGUUACCCGAAAGAUGGUGAACUAUGCCUGGCCAGGACGAAGCCAGGGGAAACCCUGGUGGAAGUCCGUAGCGAUUCUGACGUGCAAAUC